rnacentral:lncRNA from 1 species
AUGCCUACCCGCUCGCCCAUCCCACGCCCCAAUCCCUUUUUUCGCCCAAGCGAAAUUGACGGCGGCCGCCGCACCGCUCGCCACCGCCGCUGAUGCCAACCUCCCGCAAGUCGUUGCUAUCUCCGCCUAUAGCGCGCUGCUCUCGACCAAUCCGGCCAGGCCUGCGCGCCACCUCCCGGUUCAUCCCUUCCCCGGUAUGGAGCACAAGCCUCUUUUCCCUCCACCCCGAUUUGGCAGUAGCGGCAGGAGCUAGGCCACCGGCGACGAGGCUAAUUUGUCCAGCUGCUGCAGCGGCGGGCUGGGACGAUGCUAAUUUGUCUUGCUGUUGUUAUUCCACAACCAAUUAUAUUUCUACUCCAUCCCAUGGAUUGGCCUGUCCGUGGCUGGUAGGAGGAGGGAGGCGUGCGGUCAUGAGCCUGGAUGGUUCCAAAGGCAGCGUACUGGUUGGGCCGGGGUGUGUUGCCUGUGCCAGGCCACUGUACUGGCGUCGCAGGGCGUGUUGCAGCUUCAGGAUUCUGCUAGGAGCUCCUGGGAUGUGCUCAUGCAUGCUUGGUUGGAACCUUUUCUUUUUGGUCUAUGGAUGAAUCAAUGGCGUGUCAGGACUAACUAGGUCGUACGUGUACCCCACUAUCUACGGAUAGCUCUCUCGUCAUAUCUGCACAACAUGAGAACAAUUUGAUCAAUGAAGAUGGGUUUCUUUCCUACCGGUGCCAUUGUAUGUGCCGGCACGCCUCAACUAUCUUCUUUCUUGUUUAGUGUCAGGUAGUUCUUUCUUAGCUGUAAUUUAUUUGCCAUUUGCAACAGCCAAAUCAUCAUGUCAAAUGGUUUUUUGAAGAUUUGUAUGCCAAUUGACAUGUCAUUUAUUUUCAAAAUAUCCUAUUGUUGAUUUUGUCUGAUCUCCUUUCUGACAUAUUAAAAGAAUAAGUUCUCAUGCUCAGUAAAUAAAAUUGGGUUGAUUAUUAUUUUGACUUAUCGCAUCAGGUAAAUAGGAUUUCAGUGUACAUAUAUUUCGUUUUGAACAGGGAUACAAACUACAGCGUAAUGAGUCACUGAAAAAUCUGCAUCUUAAUCCUGCCCUAUUUUUCUGGGAUCCAAAUCUUCAUAUCUAUGAUAGACAGUUCAAAAAACUAUUUGAACCUUGGAAGGGAUCGGUUCUUCGUAUGUUUUUCCAGCCCAUGCAUUUACUAUUUUAAGACACAUUAAGGUCAUAGACAUUGUUCUAUAAGAUGGAGUUCAAAGAAUGGCUUUGAACCUUGGAAGUGAUAUGUUCUUAUAAUUUUUGCAGCAGGGGAACUGUUGGGGAUAUUACUACUGGAUGUAAACCGGCCUUGUGUAGCCGGGUUAACUCCUUGAAGAUUAGAAGCCCAUGAAGAUGCAAGGAUGAUGGCGCUUUAUGAAGGCCCAAGGCCCAAAGGCGGGUUAAAACCUGUAAAAGUAAUCCGACCUAGUCAUGUAAAUUGUAUUGUAAGAUAGGAAGGAUAGAGACCGAACCGGACAUGUUUAUGAUCCGGCUUCAGGACUCUGUAGCCCGGCGGGCGUCAAC